GGAGGGUGCGAGCGUUAAUCGGAAUUACUGGGCGUAAAGCGCGCGCAGGCGGCUGGGUCAGUCGGAUGUGAAAGCCCCGGGCUUAACCUGGGAAUUGCAUUCGAUACUGCCCGGCUAGAGUAUGGGAGAGGGAAGUGGAAUUUCCGGUGUAGCGGUGAAAUGCGUAGAUAUCGGAAGGAACACCAGUGGCGAAGGCGGCUUCCUGGCCCAAUACUGACGCUCAGGUGCGAAAGCGUGGGGAGCGAACAGGGAUUAGAUACCCUGGUAGUCCACGCUGUAAACGAUGAGAACUAGAUGUUGGGAGGGUUUGCCUCUCAGUGUCGCAGCUAACGCGUUAAGUUCUCCGCCUGGGAGUACGACCGCAAGGUUG
rnacentral:rRNA from 1 species